CCUUCGAUAGCUCAGUUGGUAGAGCGGUGGACUGUAGAAAGUUUCGGGGGAAACUUCAGGAAAAUUCGUCUGAAGAUCACUCUCCAUCCAAUAGAAAUCCAUAGGUCACUGGUUCAAAUCCGGUUCGAAGGA
rnacentral:tRNA from 1 species